rnacentral:rRNA from 1 species
UACGAAGGGUGCAAGCGUUGUUCGGAUUUACUGGGCGUAAAGGGCGCGUAGGCGGCGUGACUAGUCACUUGUGAAAUCUCCGGGCUUAACUCGGAACGGUCAAGUGAUACUGUCGUGCUAGAGUACAGAAGGGGCAACUGGAAUUCUCGGUGUAGCGGUGAAAUGCGUAGAUAUCGAGAGGAACACCUGCGGCGAAGGCGGGUUGCUGGGCUGAUACUGACGCUGAUGCGCGAAAGCCAGGGGAGCGAACGGG